UAACGAAUCUUCCGCAAUGCACGAAAGUGUGACGGAGCGACGCCGCGUGCUGGACGAAGCCCUUCGGGGUGUAAACAGCUGUCAGGGGAUAGAAAGUUCUGAUCAUCCCCAGAGGAAGGCACGGCUAACUCUGUGCCAGCAGCCGCGGUAAGACAGAGGUGCCAAGCGUUAGGCGGAAUCACUGGGCUUAAAGCGUGUGUAGGCGGAUUUGUAAGUACCUUGUGAAAUCCCAUGGCUCAACCAUGGAACUGCUCGGUAUACUGCGAAUCUUGAGCCACUUAGGGGCGACCGGAACAAAUGGUGGAGCGGUGAAAUGCGUAGAUAUCAUUUGGAACGCCAAUGGUGAAAACAGGUCGCUGGGAGUGUGCUGACGCUGAGACACGAAAGCCAGGGGAGCGAACGGGAUUAGAUACCCCGGUAGUCCUGGCCGUAAACGAUGUCCACUAGAUCGUGGUUGCUCUGACGUAAUCACGGUCGAAGAC
rnacentral:rRNA from 1 species